GCGCUUGUUUCAGCAGUUCAAAUACUCAAAUUGGAAAGAUACAGAGAUCAGCAUGGCCCCUGCACAGGGACUACACGCAAAUUCGAAACACCUUGGGUAAAUCA